UACGUAGGGGGCUAGCGUUGUCCGGAAUCAUUGGGCGUAAAGCGCGUAUAGGCGGUUUGGUAAGUCUGGUGUGAAAGUCGGGGGCUCAACCCUCGAAUGCCGGUGGAUACUGUCGGACUAGAGUGCGGAAGAGGCGAGUGGAAUUCCUGGUGUAGCGGUGAAAUGCGCAGAUAUCAGGAGGAACACCAAUUGCGAAGGCAGCUCGCUGGGACGUUACUGACGCUGAGACGCGAAAGCGUGGGGAGCAAACAGG
rnacentral:rRNA from 1 species